CACCCUUGGCAAUGGGCAAAGAAUCACCUUGUUGGUGGUAUGGCUCUUAUAUCAAUCAGGGGACAGAGCAGAUGACAGUCCUUUGUUCAUUCUACCUUGAUACCUGGCUUGGUGGCCAAAAUUGUCUUAUGCCUAGGAUGCAAAA
rfam:Mus musculus chromosome 10, GRC primary reference assembly.